rnacentral:rRNA from 1 species
GCCUGUUUAUCAAAAACAUGGCCUUUUGAUUAUAAUUUAAGGUCUGGCCUGCCCACUGAAUUUUAAAGGGCCGCGGUAAUUUGACCGUGCUAAGGUAGCAUAAUCAUUAGUUUUUUAAUUGGAAGCUAGAAUGAAUGGUCGGAUGAAAAAAUAACUGUCUUUAUUUAAUUUAUAUUGAAUUUUAUUUUUAAGUUAAAAAGCUUAAGUAUUUUUUAAAGACGAGAAGACCCUAUAGAGUUUGAUAAAACUAAUUUAUUAAUAUUUUUAGGAAUAUUAUUUUAAUAGGCAAGUUUUAUUUGAUUGGGGUGAUUGUAAAAUUUAAUAAACUUUUAUUGUUUCAUACCAUAAAUUUAUGAUUUUUUGAUCCAAUAAUAUUGAUUAUAAGAUUAAAUUACCUUAGGGAUAACAGCGUAANCUUUUUUAAGAGUUCUAAUCGAAAAAAAAGUUUGCGACCUCGAUGUUGGAUUAAAAUUAAUUUUUGGUGUAGGGGCUAAGAA